GGGCACAAAUCUCAAUGAGCUGGAGGAACUGAAUUUUUUUUUCUAUUGAGAAGCAUGAUCCUGUCUGCUAAGACUCUCCUCUUGAAAUCCUGUCUGGAUUUCAGGUUAUGCCAAGCCCAGGAAGGAUGAAGGAAAAAUUGCUCCCUAGUUAAAGCCAUUUCUACUGAAAAUUCUCUGCAUGGAGAAAGGGCUUGAGAAAGUGGACUCAUCCCAAGAAGGAUGUGAAGAGGAUAAGUAUUCAAAGCAGCAGCAUGCAAACUCCAGGAGGGCCUUCAGAGGUAUAAGUGGUAGGUGGUUGGAAGUGAAAAAGAGAUGUGACUUUAGGAAAGGAUCAUGAUAGAACUGGAAGAAUUCCAUUGAAGAACUCAGACGGAGACAGUGUAAAUCACGUGAACCUGAAGCGAACCAAAAUCAUGAGAAGAUGCUUGUUUAAUACACAAGGAACUCUAAAAACAAUGAGGAAAAAGCAACAGUCUUACUAACAAAUGUGUCUUAAUUUACUCAUAUCUGUGCAGACUUCAUUCUGCUUUUAAUAAUAAUGCAUCACAGGCCUUUUAUAGUCUGUUUCAAACUCCUGUCUAACAUGAUGAAAAUCUUAAAUACGAUCCUUUUAAGGAUGGAAGAUGUAUCACAUAGAAUGGAGGAGGACCGUGGUACAAAAAUGAAUGGCCACCUAGCACAUCUGCAGCAGCAGUCAUCAGCAGAUGUUUAGGGGAGAAUAGAAAACUGAGGAUGUGUGACAUGAUUAAUUUCCUUGUUUAGCCUCUUGUUUUGAGUAUUCAGCUUUUCAGUGACUUCCUGAACUGGAAGUUCAAUAUGGUCGGUCGUGUCCUACUGAUACAGCUUUCUGGCAUGAGUUUGUUCAGUGUCUUUUGAACCUGUUUGAGUACUAUUCUCAUCACUGACCCAUGGCAGUUAUUAUACGAUGCCUAAUAAAACACAGAGCUUUUUUCC
rnacentral:lncRNA from 7 species